rnacentral:rRNA from 1 species
AUUGAACGCUGGCGGAAUGCUUUACACAUGCAAGUCGAACGGCAGCACGGGGGCAACCCUGGUGGCGAGUGGCGAACGGGUGAGUAAUACAUCGGAACGUGCCCAGUCGUGGGGGAUAACGUAGCGAAAGUUACGCUAAAACCGCAUACGAUCUAUGGAUGAAAGCGGGGGACCGUAAGGCCUCGCGCGAUUGGAGCGGCCGAUGUCAGAUUAGGUAGUUGGUGGGGUAAAGGCCCACCAAGCCGACGAUCUGUAGCUGGUCUGAGAGGACGACCAGCCACACUGGGACUGAGACACGGCCCAGACUCCUACGGGAGGCAGCAGUGGGGAAUUUUGGACAAUGGGCGCAAGCCUGAUCCAGCCAUUCCGCGUGCAGGACGAAGGCCUUCGGGUUGUAAACUGCUUUUGUACGGAACGAAAAGGUCCUGGUUAAUACCCGGGGCUCAUGACGGUACCGUAAGAAUAAGCACCGGCUAACUACGUGCCAGCCGCCGCGGUAA